ensembl:lncRNA
CUGAAUCAUGUACAACAUCAAUGUGACGUGUGGAGAGAUUGAGACUGAAUACAGACUUCAUGCUGAUUUACUGAACUACACCAAUAAUCCUGACUGUGAUCAGAGCUGGUAUUCACAGGUCAGUGUGUUUCUGUCCUCAAACUACAGGAUUAUUCACCAAGGAUUAUACAUGGCUUCAUCCUGUUUUGUUUUAUUUGUUCAGGGCAAGCGUCUGUUAGCAGAUCCAUCAGAUCCUCAAACACUGUUUGAUCCUGCUAUUUCUGUCUCGUCUGACCAUCUCUUCACUUCUCACUGUGUGGAUAAAAUUCAUCAUGAGAUCAUCUGUCAUUCUGCUGAAUUAAGAUAUGAGACUAUAUUUAGAGUGUUUAAUGGCACCGACUCCAUUAGCAGACCAAGACAAACUCCAGAAUCACAUCAGUUGUGGUGGAUUUCUGCCCCGAUCUUCAUUGUUCUUCUGGUUUUGAUCUGUUUCUUCUUGCGUAAAAGGAUCUCCAAUUGUAUUUCGAGAACAGUUACAAGCAUAUUUCAGCGCAAUGAUUCAGAAAACAGAGAUCCUGAAUCUGGUGUCCAAAUGAAGAUCACUGAAUCAAUCUGAAUCUGAACAGAUCAAUGGCUCCAUGUCCAGAGGAUGAUCAGAAACAUGCAUUGAUUUGAACUCUGAUCAGUCAGGAUGAUUGAUUGUUUUAAUGUUUUAAUUGGAAUGUUGUUCCAGGAUAAACAAGGAUGUUGAUCCAGGAACAUUGUUAAAUUUGAUUUAUUAGUGAAUGUCUCUGUACAGACAGAUGAAUGUGAUUGAAUAUGUUUUCAGCAGGACUGUAAGUGGAUCAGAAACUGUUUUUACAUUACAGAUUAAAUCGUGAUUAAAUGAUUGUAGCUUUUCCCCAGAUUUCUAUUAGCUUUCAUGAGAUAACCAGUGGAAUGUCACCACAGAGGACUUCUAAAACGCAUCUCUCUCUCUUCAUAUAUACACAUAGAAAGAGUCACGUGGAGAGAUUAAGAGCAUUGUGUUGGGACACAUCAGUCAUUUGUGUUGCAUUAGCUGAAAACAGUGCAUCUGUAGUUCCCAGAAUCUUCAGCCGCUUCAAACUCUCAGAGCAGAUGGUGACCUUCAGAAACCACAGGAAGAAUCGGUAAAGAGAUGUCAGUGAUCGACACUCCUGGACUUUAUGAUACUAUAGCUGUUAUGAUGGAAAUAGUGAAAUACAUAAGACAGGCCACACACUUGAAGAUUCUGAGCCCAAUUUUGAGCCUAAUUUGCACCCCAAGCAAUCAGGGGCAUGGCCCAAUUCGAGGCAAAUUACUUUUUGUCCAAAAAAAAACUUCUGUGGUGACAUUACGAUUAUUUAACUGCUCCCGAUCAAACUCAAAUUGUAAAUAUGCUUGAUAUUUAGGACUCCUGAUCAGGCUGCAUCCUACGUGAUACCUGUGAUAGCCAAUAAGAGUGAGCAAGCAUUGCCUACUGGAUGUUGUGUGCUGCUAUAGCUAAAACAGUAUGGAGAAAGAAGAUCAUCCAGAUUUUUUUUUUGUUCAUAGGAUUAUAAUGUUAAACAUCGGUUGAAACUGUCCGAUGAUUGAUCUCCUUUCACUUGAAGAGAGAUUUACUGUAUACACUGCUCUGUUCUGAUGACAUGAGAAUAAAAAUGACAAAUCAAGUUGAACGCUCUGGAUU